CCUACGGGAGGCUGCAGUGAGGAAUAUUGGUCAAUGGCCGGAAGGCUGAACCAGCCAUGCCGCGUGAAGGUCAGUGCCCUAUGGGCGUUAAACUUCUUUUGUGCGGGAGCAAUAAUGGUCACGUGUGGCCAGACGAGAGUACCGUACGAAUAAGCAUCGGCUAACUCCGUGCCAGCAGCCGCGGUGAUACGGGGGAUGCAAGCGUUAUCCGGAUUUAUUGGGUUUAAAGGGUGCGUAGGCUGGGAGGUAAGUCAGCGGGGAAAUGCCCCCGCUCAACGGGGUGAAGUGCCAUUGAUACUGCCUUGCUGGAGUGCGGAUGCCGUGGGAGGAAUGUGUGGUGUAGCGGUGAAAUGCAUAGAUAUCACACAGAACACCGAUUGCGAAGGCAUCUCACGAAUCCGCGAUUGACGCUGAUGCACGAAAGCGUGGGUAUCAAACAGGAUUAGAUACCCUAGUAGUC
rnacentral:rRNA from 1 species